rnacentral:rRNA from 1 species
CCCUACGGGGGGCAGCAGUGGGGAAUAUUGGGCAAUGGGCGCAAGCCUGACCCAGCAACGCCGCGUGAAGGAAGAAGGCUUUCGGGUUGUAAACUUCUUUUGUCAGGGACGAAGCACGUGACGGUACCUGACGAAUCAGCCCCGGCUAACUACGUGCCAGCAGCCGCGGUCCUACGUAGUUGGCACGCGUUAUCCGGCUUUACUGGGUGUAACGGGCGUGUAGGCGGGGAGGCCCGUCCG